rnacentral:snRNA from 1 species
AUCGCUUCUCGGCCUUUUGACUGGGAUCAAAUGUAG